rnacentral:rRNA from 1 species
AGUGGAUGGGGAGCAACCUAGUUGUGAGUGCGGAAAGGUAGUGCCAAGAAAAGCUGUCAGAAUGAUGAGAAUUGAGUCCCGAUACCCGAAACCGACACAGGUAUGCAAGUAGAGAAUACUAAGGGGCGCGAGGUAACUCUCUCCAAGGAACUCGGCAAAAUGACCCCGUAACUUAGGGAGAAGGGGUGCCACCGAGAGGUGGUCGCAGUGAAGAGGCCCAGGCGACUGUUUAGCAAAAACAUAGGUCUCUGCAAACUCGAAAGAGGAAGUAUAGGGGCUGACGCCUGCCCAGUGCCGGAAGGUUAAAGAAGUUGGUCAGGAGAAAUCUGAAGCUGGCGACUGAAGCCCCGGUGAACGGCGGCCGUAACUAUAACGGUCCUAAGGUAGCGAAAUUCCUUGUCGGGUAAGUUCCGACCCGCACGAAAGGCGUAACGAUCUGGGCGCUGUCUCGGAGAGAGGCUCGGCGAAAUAGGAUUGUCUGUGAAGAUACGGACUACCUGCAUUUGGACAGAAAGACCCUAUGAAGCUUUACUGUAGCUUGAAAUUGUGUUCGGGCUUCCUGUGCGCAGGAUAGGUGGGAGGCUAGGAAGGUCUGCUUGUGGGCAGAUUGGAGCCAACCGUGAGAUACCACUCUCAGGAGGCUAGAAUUCUAACUUAAUUAAGGACAGUUUCAGGUGGGCAGUUUGACUGGGGCGGUCGCCUCCAAAAAGGUAACGGAGGCGUACAAAGGUUCCCUCACACUGGUUGGAAAUCAGUGGCAGAGUGCAAAGGCAGAAGGGAGCUUGACUGCGAGACGUACAAGUCGAGCAGGGUGGAAACACGGUCUUAGUGAUCCGACGGUGCUGUGUGGAAGGGCCGUCGCUCAACGGAUAAAAGUUACUCUAGGAUAACAGGCUGAUCUCCCCCAAGAGUUCACAUCGACGGGGAGGUUUGGCACCUCGAUGUCGGCUCAUCGCAACCUGGGGCGGAAGUACGUCCCAAGGGUUGGGCUGUUCGCCCAUUAAAGCGGUACGUGAGCUGGGUUCAGAACGUCGUGAGACAGUUCGGUCCAUAUCCGAUGUAGGCGUGAGAAUAUUGAGAGGAGCCUUCCUUAGUACGAGAGGACCGGGAAGGACGCACCGCUGGUGUACCUGUUAUGAUGCCAAUCGUAAACGCAGGGUAGCCAAGUGCGGAGAGGAUAACCGCUGAAAGCAUCUAAGUGGGAAGCCCACCUCAAGAUGAGUAUUCUGGUGUAAGGUCACGGGGAGACGACCCGUAGAUAGGCACGAGGUGGAAGUGCAGAGAUGUAUGAAGCCGAAGUGUACUAAUAGACCGUCGGCUUGACC